rnacentral:lncRNA from 1 species
UUUCCACACUUGAUACAAGCUUGCUUCUUCUUCGGACUUGUCUUCUCAGAAUUAGGGCUAUCGUUGUCCCUCUUCCUCUUUUUCUUGUCCUUCUGCUGCUUGAUUGUUCCCUCAGACGAUCCUCCACCUUCAGCCUUCAUCUUCUCCACCUGCGCCUUCAGCUCAUUCCGUUCUUCAGUCAUUUCACGUAAUGCCCGCUCCG